rnacentral:sRNA from 1 species
AAAAUAAUCCAAAUGUGUAGCUCAAUCAAAACGGCCUUUAAGUUCUAUACGUGAUUGGCUUGGUAAUUGUGACUUUUAUCAACAAACUAGCUGUACCCUGCCAUGCUUCUCUAUGCCGUAUUGUGGUUGGACGAUCAAGAAAUGAAGAACACGACAGAUACGCUUUUUUGUGUGCCUUGGUACAUUCAUCCCAAACAAUGAGUUUAUAUGCUCGCAGUUAUUUUCCCAUACCUGAUGUUGAAGUACAUUUGAAGAAAUUUCACUGACUGGGAACGGGAGCAGGGCGCCAGCUUUGUGAUAUGAUUUUGAAAGUUGGCAUGAAUUCGUCAGUUACAAUUUACGAACCAAAAGAUGUCAUUUUGGUUCCAGCAAGCAGAGUUCGCAGUGGCUC